rnacentral:lncRNA from 1 species
GCCGAGGAGCGGUGGUUUCCCAACAGGGAAGUCAUUUUGUGUGCGCCGGUGCGGGCUGGGCCCUGAACCGCCCUCCCUGGGGGCUGAGGUCGGACACAACUCAUUGCAGGGGUGGGCAAACGGUGGGGGCACCCCCCCGCUGGAGGGGGAAGCUGGGGCCCUGCUGCUGACAACCGCCCGGCGCUGGGAGAGCGGCCGGAGCCGGCCCCCGCUAUCCCCCUUCACUGGGUGCGAGGACGAGAGGCCCGCCGGCUGCUCCCCUCCGCGCUGCGCCGCCCUCACCAGGUCCAUGGAGUGACCCCGUGGGGGGGUCCCUGCACCGGCGCAGCCCCCGGCCGCCGGCCCGGCGCUGAGCGAGGCCGCCGCGAACAUGAGCGACUUCUGGCACAAGCUGGGCUGCUGCGUCGUGGAGAAGCCACAGCCGAAGAAGAGGAGGAGACGGAUCGACCGCUCCAUGAUUGGAGAACCCAUGAACUUCGUCCACCUGACGCACAUCGGCUCCGGAGACAUGGCUGCGGGUGAAGGCCUGCCCAUGACUGGUGCUGUCCAGGAGAUGAGAUCCAAGGGUGGACGGGAGCGACAGUGGAACAACUCCCGGGUCUUGUAGCAUAUUCCUGUUUUUUUCAGCCCAAACUUAAACUGCCCGAUCCCCCAACCAGAGAAGAAGCCGAUCUCGAGCGCUUUAACCCUGCGGUAAUUUAUGCAGAGCAAUCCUUGCCUGGCUCCCGGUGGCUUUUGGUCGUCAUCCCCCCUGGCAAAUCCCUCCCCGCUGGAGGCGUGGGGUCAGUGGCGCGGGGGGCAAUGGGCACGGCAGCCCCCGCCUCGUGCCCGACCAGCGGAAGGACGCGUGCCAGGAGCUGCCGGGCACAGCCGGGAUGUGCCAAACCCUCCCGGCUUUCCUUGCUCCGUACCUGUGCCUCGGCGCCGGGCCGCGGUGCCUCGCUUGCGCCGGGGGAUCACGGCGGGGCUGCUCCUGGUGCCGAGGCCGGGUCGGUGCCCUCUCGGGAAGGCGCACAACAGCAAAACUGGGAUUAGACCCUGAUGCUUGUGUCUCGUCAGCAGCGGCUCAGCACCGGCACCAUCCACGAGCCUGUGGUGCCUCCAGCCAGCGGUGCCACCACUGGCAAACUGCCACCUUCCUCCUUUUUUAGGAUAUAUAUAUAUUUUUUAAGCUCAAAAACCCAAGCAGGCAGCCUCUGACGCCUCAGAGGAAGGACUGUGGUGUGCUCCCCUCGCGCUGGGGUCACCACCAGGGUUUCACUGGCACUGGCCGAGGCAGGACGGGGCCUGACCAAGAAGGCGCUGGGGCUCCUGAAUUCGGGCACGGGUGUAUAUAGUUUAAAUAGCGCCAGGAUUCAAUAUGAAAUAGCAAAUGCCGGGCAUCACAGGCGGGUGGCAGAGGCUUUCACCCUGCUCCCUGCCACACCGGGAUGCUCCCGUGAGGAACCGGGCUCUUCCAGCCCCGUGGUGUGCUUGGUGUUGGUGAGUGAGUGCCGAUGCUUGGUCCGGUUUUCCCUCCCCUGGGAAAAACAACCCAUCCUUGAAAUAAACCCCUUGUGCUGGC